rnacentral:rRNA from 1 species
UCUGAAUAAAAGUAGUUAAGUUCUUCAUAACUCAAAGAAUUUGGCGGUUAAUGGAAUUUUCAGAGGGGCCUGUGUAUUAAUUGAUAAACCACGAUAGGUUUGACCUGUUUUUUAUUUGUAUAUCUCUAUGUUUCGGAAUGUUUUUUAAGAAUUAAUUUUCUUUUAGAUUAAAUCUUGAAUUUUAGGUCAAGGUGCAGUUUUAAAUAGGUUUAUAUGGGUUACUUUAAUUUUAAUUAUUUAUUUUAAGGUGCUUUGAGUAUUAUUUUAUAAUAGGAUUUGAAAGUAAUUUUAAUUUAUUAAUUUUUUUGAAUAAU